ACUCUAGUAGUUUAUAAAAAAUAUUGGUCUUGUAAACCAAAGAUUGAAGAUUAUACCCUUCCUAGAGUA
rnacentral:tRNA from 1 species